rnacentral:tRNA from 1 species
AAAAAGAUAAGCUAAUAUAAGCUAAUGGGUUCAUACCCCAUUUAUAGAGGUUGCAAUCCUCUUCUUUUUA